rnacentral:rRNA from 1 species
GUUUGAUCCUAGCUCAGGACGAACGCUGGCGGCGUGCUUAACACAUGCAAGUCGAACGAUGAUGCCCAGCUUGCUGGGUGGAUUAGUGGCGAACGGGUGAGUAACACGUGAGUAACCUGCCCCUGACUCUGGGAUAAGCGUUGGAAACGACGUCUAAUACUGGAUAUGAUCACUGGCCGCAUGGUCUGGUGGUGGAAAGAUUUUUUGGUUGGGGAUGACUCGCGGCCUAUCAGCUUGUUGGUGAGGUAAUGGCUCACCAAGGCGACGACGGGUAGCCGGCCUGAGAGGGUGACCGGCCACACUGGGACUGAGACACGGCCCAGACUCCUACGGGAGGCAGCAGUGGGGAAUAUUGCACAAUGGGCGAAAGCCUGAUGCAGCAACGCCGCGUGAGGGAUACGGCCUUCGGGUUGUAAACCUCUUUUAGUAGGGAAGAAGCGAAAGUGACGGUACCUGCAGAAAAAGCACCGGCUAACUACGUGCCAGCAGCCGCGGUAAUACGUAGGGUGCAAGCGUUGUCCGGAAUUAUUGGGCGUAAAGAGCUCGUAGGCGGUUUGUCGCGUCUGCUGUGAAAUCCCGAGGCUCAACCUCGGCUUGCAGUGGGUACGGGCAGACUAGAGUGCGGUAGGGGAGAUUGGAAUUCCUGGUGUAGCGGUGGAAUGCGCAGAUAUCAGGAGGAACACCGAUGGCGAAGGCAGAUCUCUGGGCCGUAACUGACGCUGAGGAGCGAAAGCAUGGGGAGCGAACAGGAUUAGAUACCCUGGUAGUCCAUGCCGUAAACGUUGGGCGCUAGAUGUAGGGACCUUUCCACGGUUUCUGUGUCGUAGCUAACGCAUUAAGCGCCCCGCCUGGGGAGUACGGCCGCAAGGCUAAAACUCAAAGGAAUUGACGGGGGCCCGCACAAGCGGCGGAGCAUGCGGAUUAAUUCGAUGCAACGCGAAGAACCUUACCAAGGCUUGACAUACACCGGAAACGGCCAGAGAUGGUCGCCCCCUUGUGGUCGGUGUACAGGUGGUGCAUGGUUGUCGUCAGCUCGUGUCGUGAGAUGUUGGGUUAAGUCCCGCAACGAGCGCAACCCUCGUUCUAUGUUGCCAGCGGGUUAUGCCGGGACUCAUAGGAGACUGCCGGGGUCAACUCGGAGGAAGGUGGGGAUGACGUCAAAUCAUCAUGCCCCUUAUGUCUUGGGCUUCACGCAUGCUACAAUGGCCGGUACAAAGGGCUGCGAUACCGUAAGGUGGAGCGAAUCCCAAAAAGCCGGUCUCAGUUCGGAUUGAGGUCUGCAACUCGACCUCAUGAAGUCGGAGUCGCUAGUAAUCGCAGAUCAGCAACGCUGCGGUGAAUACGUUCCCGGGCCUUGUACACACCGCCCGUCAAGUCAUGAAAGUCGGUAACACCCGAAGCCGGUGGCCUANCCCUUGUGGAAGGAGCCGUCGAAGUGGGAUCGGUGAUUAGGACUAAGUCGUAACAAGGUAGCCGUACCGGAAGGUGCGGCUGGAUCACCUC